rnacentral:lncRNA from 1 species
AUGAAUCUUGAUGGCUCUGCACAAGAUACUGAAAAGAGGGAAUAUUCUUCUGUCUGGGUGGGCAGAGAAGAUGACAUUAAAAAAUCUGAAAGAAUAAUAGCUGUUGUCCAUGAUAGAGAAGUGGUCAUUUUCUAUCACAAGGGAGAAUAUCAUGCUAUGGAUAUUCGCUGUUACCACUCAGGAGGACCUUUACAUUUGGGAGAUAUAGAGGAUUUUGAUGGAUGACCGUGUAUAGUUUGCCGCUGGCAUAAAUACAAAAUUACUUUGGCAACAGGAGAAGGUCUGUACCAGACUAUAAACUCUAAAGAUCCAUCAGCAAAACCCAAGUAGUGCUCCAAAGGAAUAAAGCAAAGGAUUCACACAGUGACAGUAGACAAUGGGAAUAUUUAUGUGACUCUUUCUAAUGAACUAAUGACUCUGAUUUUUAUGCCACUGGAUACUUCAAAGUAAUUAAGAGUUCU